rnacentral:lncRNA from 1 species
AGACACCUGCUCCCUGCACCCAAGCCGUCAUGGUCGGCUUGCCUCCGCUUGUCCAGAAGUCUCCAGGCUUGGGGCCCUGAUUGCCAGCCGGUGACACUUGGUCUCCCAGCAGCUGCCCCUUGAGGGGAGCGAAGCAAGGUUACAAAGUGCCGGGAGCCGUGCAGGGCCAGUGAACCCCUCGCUGAGACUCAGUUUGCUGCCAUCACAAGUGCUCUGAGAAUCCUGGAGAGGGAGGAUAUUGGAGACAAACGGGACUGCUGCCCGCCUUUUAGGCGACCGUUGGAGGCUGCUCUGUGCCGGACACAGGCAGGCUCCCACAGCUCAGAAGUCAGCGGAGCAGAGUCCCCAGGAAACCAGGGUCAGGGAUGGAGGCUGCUGAGGAGCGGGUCUGGGAGGUGGAGGCCAGAUACAAGAAAACCACAGUACCAGUAAAUGACAAAGGCUGGAUCUUAACCCAAGUCCUCCGACUCUGAAGGCCAUACCCAACAGGUCCCAUUUUAUUUGUUUUACUUUUUUUUAAUUGAAGAAAAAAAAACUAGCAUUCCCCUACAGUGCCCCCCACCUGGUGG